GUGAAACCAAUAUAACAUCUCAACAUUCACAAAUAUACAUUUCUGACAUUCAAAAACAAAACAAAAAAAAAUCAGUGACCAAUAUAGCCACCUUUCUUUGCAAGGACACUCAAAAGCCUGCCAUCCAUGGAUUCUGUCAGUGUUUUGAUCUGUUCACCAUCAACAUUGCGUGCAGCAGCAACCACAGCCUCCCAGACACGGUUCAGAGAGGUGUACUGUUUUCCCUCCUUGUAAAUCUCACAUUUGAUGAUGGACCACAGGUUCUCAAUGGGGUUCAGAUCAGGUGAACAAGAAGGCCAUGUC